AGGCAAUUUUGUACCUCCAGGACUUAGCAUAGUAUCUGACACACAAUAGCAGGUUUAUUCGCUCCCCAGCCUUAACUGACAACAUCAAUAAAUAAAGUCUCAUUGAUGUGAAUAGAGUUGAGGAGCUUGGUUAAAGGUGUGCACCUUGUUGCUCACCUGCUUUGCUCUGGCUUGAAGGCCAUCACAUUUAGAAGGAAAGAAAUUGAAAUUUAUGAAGUACCUACUAUGUGCCAAGUUAUGCAUAUUAUUCAUUUGAUCCUCCUAACAACCCUGAGAGAGAACUGCCCAACCGAAGUACUUCUACUCUCUGGACUUCAGUCACUGCAGCUGUAAAAUGGGAGACUUUCUUCUUCAUUUGAAGGGUGGCUUCAUUUAUAGACUCUGCACAGACCUUGGAGUAUUGAAAUAAUUACAGAAAAUCUGCAAGACCUCUCUAAAGGCCCCCUUCUGUCCUGUAAAGGCAGGAAAUCUCACCACAUGAAGGUGGGAGAAAAAUCAGGAAAUGGUCUUGAAUUGAUUAUGUGUUGGUGAAUAUUUCAAGGCAGGCAUCUGAGGCCAAAUGCUUCCAUCCAGCUGGGCCCCACAUGGAUAAAAAGAAGGAGCCUGAUCUACUUGGACCUCUGGAGCAUGCCUAACAGGAAGUCCAUCUCGUCAACGGACAUUUCAAAGCUUGCUUCCAGUCAAAGGUCACCAUGAACAGAGGGAAAAUCUAAACAGAUGUAAGCCAAGACUGGCUAAAGGGCUUGUCACUAAAAUAGAGGCACGGAGCAGAGCCUAAGAAAUGGGGUCAGGCCCCUGAGACCCCAGUUGCCUGUAUUGAGACAAAUGUGGAUUGCCAUUUGACCGC
rnacentral:lncRNA from 1 species